UGGAAUUCGGAAUAACUAAACAGUAAACGGUUUCACGUUUAAUAUCUAAUAUCUAUUGUUUAUUGAACAUUGAUUACAAAACACGAAUAACAUAAUAACAAAUACCUAAUAGGUAGUUUAUAUUUUACAAACGCUUUGAAUGCCUUAAAAUAAUAUAAUUUCCACUUCCACGUUUUUAUAACUAUAGAAAAGAUUGACUGAUAAUGAUUAAUGGCAUUCACUUGUAAAAUAUAUUGAAUAUUAAUGAUUGUUCGUCGUAUUCUCGUAUGCUGAGAAAUAAGUAAUAACGAUAUUUAUAGUGAUUACUCUUUUAUUGAAUGUUCGGCUAACGUGUUGGAGGCCGGACUCAUUGGAGUACAGAUCUGUCAGAUCUAAGUAUUCUAAAUCCAACAUGAUAUUUUUUGACAAAUUAUAUAAUAUACAAUUUAUUGAUAUUUAAUAUUUAUGCAUUGUUUAGAGAAAGAAAAUUCUGGUCAAAGUCAAAAUUCACAAAUACACCAUUUAACAAUAAACAACAAAUUUUAAUCAUGUCGCACAUAAUACUACAUAUUAAAUGAUUUGUAAUUUGUAUGGACAUAAUAUAAUAAUAUAAAAUAUAAUUUAGAUUAUUGAUAAGUUACAAAUAAAUCUGUACAGGUAAAAUUCUACUUUUUGAUAAGUGAUAAAUAUAUGUAAUUUUUACAGUUAUAA